rnacentral:rRNA from 1 species
UACGUAGGGGGCAAGCGUUGUCCGGAUUUAUUGGGCGUAAAGCGCGCGUAGGCGGCAAGGUAUGUCGUGCGUGAAAUCUCCCGGCUUAACUGGGAGGGCCGUGCGAAACUGCCUGGCUUGAGGUCGGAAGGGGAAAGUGGAAUUCCGGGUGUAGUGGUGGAAUGACGUAGAUAUCCGGAGGAACACCAGCGGCGAAGGCGGCUUUCUGGUCCGAUUCUGACGCUGAGGCGCGAAAGCGUGGGGAGCGAUCCGG